AAGGCAAAUCGGUCUAUCGCUGUUCAUCUUUGGAUGAAGAGAGGAAAGUCCGGGCAGUAUAGAGCACCGUACUUCCUAACGGGAAGGUCUUAAAGAAGCGAUUGUUUAAGAACAGAAAGUGCCGCAGAAAGGAAAACUACCUGAAUGAUUUAUUAUUUGGGAAAAGGUGAAAAGGUGUGGUAAGAGCUCACCGUGCUGUUGGCGACAACAGUAGCAAGGUAAACCUUACGGACUGAAAGACCAUGUAAACCGAGGCUUGAGGGUUGCUCGCCCAAUCUCGGAGGGUAGGUCGAUGGAUCCCAAUUGUGAAGUUGGGGCUAGAUAAAUGAUAGACGUUUUGAUUUCGGUCAGAAUACAGAACCCGGCUUAUAGAUUUGCCUUUAUU
rnacentral:RNase_P_RNA from 1 species